UACGUAGGGGGCAAGCGUUGUCCGGAUUUAUUGGGCGUAAAGAGCGUGUAGGCGGCCAUUCAGGUCAGCUGUGAAAACUCGAGGCUCAACCUCGAGACGUCGGUUGAAACCGUUUGGCUAGAGUCCGGAAGAGGAGAGUGGAAUUCCCGGUGUAGCGGUGAAAUGCGCAGAUAUCGGGAAGAACACCCGUGGCGAAGGCGGCUCUCUGGGACGGUACUGACGCUGAGGUGCGAAAGCGUGGGGAGCAAAGCAGG
rnacentral:rRNA from 1 species